rnacentral:rRNA from 1 species
UUAAGCGACUAAGCGUACACGGUGGAUGCCCUGGCAGUCAGAGGCGAUGAAGGACGUGCUAAUCUGCGAUAAGCGUCGGUGAGGUGAUAUGAACCGUUAUAACCGGCGAUUUCCGAAUGGGGAAACCCAGUGUGUUUCGACACACUAUCAUUAACUGAAUCCAUAGGUUAAUGAGGCGAACCGGGGGAACUGAAACAUCUAAGUACCCCGAGGAAAAGAAAUCAACCGAGAUUCCCCCAGUAGCGGCGAGCGAACGGGGAGGAGCCCAGAGCCUGAAUCAGUGUGUGUGUUAGUGGAAGCGUCUGGAAAGGCGCGCGAUACAGGGUGACAGCCCCGUACACAAAAAUGCACAUAUUGUGAGCUCGAUGAGUAGGGCGGGACACGUGGUAUCCUGUCUGAAUAUGGGGGGACCAUCCUCCAAGGCUAAAUACUCCUGACUGACCGAUAGUGAACCAGUACCGUGAGGGAAAGGCGAAAAGAACCCCGGCGAGGGGAGUGAAAAAGAACCUGAAACCGUGUACGUACAAGCAGUGGGAGCCUCUUUAUGGGGUGACUGCGUACCUUUUGUAUAAUGGGUCAGCGACUUAUAUUCUGUAGCAAGGUUAACCGAAUAGGGGAGCCGAAGGGAAACCGAGUCUUAACUGGGCGUUAAGUUGCAGGGUAUAGACCCGAAACCCGGUGAUCUAGCCAUGGGCAGGUUGAAGGUUGGGUAACACUAACUGGAGGACCGAACCGACUAAUGUUGAAAAAUUAGCGGAUGACUUGUGGCUGGGGGUGAAAGGCCAAUCAAACCGGGAGAUAGCUGGUUCUCCCCGAAAGCUAUUUAGGUAGCGCCUCGUGAAUUCAUCUCCGGGGGUAGAGCACUGUUUCGGCAAGGGGGUCAUCCCGACUUACCAACCCGAUGCAAACUGCGAAUACCGGAGAAUGUUAUCACGGGAGACACACGGCGGGUGCUAACGUCCGUCGUGAAGAGGGAAACAACCCAGACCGCCAGCUAAGGUCCCAAAGUCAUGGUUAAGUGGGAAACGAUGUGGGAAGGCCCAGACAGCCAGGAUGUUGGCUUAGAAGCAGCCAUCAUUUAAAGAAAGCGUAAUAGCUCACUGGUCGAGUCGGCCUGCGCGGAAGAUGUAACGGGGCUAAACCAUGCACCGAAGCUGCGGCAGCGACACUAUGUGUUGUUGGGUAGGGGAGCGUUCUGUAAGCCUGUGAAGGUGGCCUGUGAGGGUUGCUGGAGGUAUCAGAAGUGCGAAUGCUGACAUAAGUAACGAUAAAGCGGGUGAAAAGCCCGCUCGCCGGAAGACCAAGGGUUCCUGUCCAACGUUAAUCGGGGCAGGGUGAGUCGACCCCUAAGGCGAGGCCGAAAGGCGUAGUCGAUGGGAAACAGGUUAAUAUUCCUGUACUUGGUGUUACUGCGAAGGGGGGACGGAGAAGGCUAUGUUGGCCGGGCGACGGUUGUCCCGGUUUAAGCGUGUAGGCUGGUUUUCCAGGCAAAUCCGGAAAACCAAGGCUGAGGCGUGAUGACGAGGCACUACGGUGCUGAAGCGACAAAUGCCCUGCUUCCAGGAAAAGCCUCUAAGCAUCAGGUAACAUCAAAUCGUACCCCAAACCGACACAGGUGGUCAGGUAGAGAAUACCAAGGCGCUUGAGAGAACUCGGGUGAAGGAACUAGGCAAAAUGGUGCCGUAACUUCGGGAGAAGGCACGCUGAUAUGUAGGUGAAGCGACUUGCUCGUGGAGCUGAAAUCAGUCGAAGAUACCAGCUGGCUGCAACUGUUUAUUAAAAACACAGCACUGUGCAAACACGAAAGUGGACGUAUACGGUGUGACGCCUGCCCGGUGCCGGAAGGUUAAUUGAUGGGGUUAGCGGUAACGCGAAGCUCUUGAUCGAAGCCCCGGUAAACGGCGGCCGUAACUAUAACGGUCCUAAGGUAGCGAAAUUCCUUGUCGGGUAAGUUCCGACCUGCACGAAUGGCGUAAUGAUGGCCAGGCUGUCUCCACCCGAGACUCAGUGAAAUUGAACUCGCUGUGAAGAUGCAGUGUACCCGCGGCAAGACGGAAAGACCCCGUGAACCUUUACUAUAGCUUGACACUGAACAUUGAGCCUUGAUGUGUAGGAUAGGUGGGAGGCUUUGAAGUGUGGACGCCAGUCUGCAUGGAGCCGACCUUGAAAUACCACCCUUUAAUGUUUGAUGUUCUAACGUUGGCCCGUAAUCCGGGUUGCGGACAGUGUCUGGUGGGUAGUUUGACUGGGGCGGUCUCCUCCUAAAGAGUAACGGAGGAGCACGAAGGUUGGCUAAUCCUGGUCGGACAUCAGGAGGUUAGUGCAAUGGCAUAAGCCAACUUGACUGCGAGCGUGACGGCGCGAGCAGGUGCGAAAGCAGGUCAUAGUGAUCCGGUGGUUCUGAAUGGAAGGGCCAUCGCUCAACGGAUAAAAGGUACUCCGGGGAUAACAGGCUGAUACCGCCCAAGAGUUCAUAUCGACGGCGGUGUUUGGCACCUCGAUGUCGGCUCAUCACAUCCUGGGGCUGAAGUAGGUCCCAAGGGUAUGGCUGUUCGCCAUUUAAAGUGGUACGCGAGCUGGGUUUAGAACGUCGUGAGACAGUUCGGUCCCUAUCUGCCGUGGGCGCUGGAGAACUGAGGGGGGCUGCUCCUAGUACGAGAGGACCGGAGUGGACGCAUCACUGGUGUUCGGGUUGUCAUGCCAAUGGCACUGCCCGGUAGCUAAAUGCGGAAGAGAUAAGUGCUGAAAGCAUCUAAGCACGAAACUUGCCCCGAGAUGAGUUCUCCCUGAGACUUAGAGUCUCCUGAAGGAACGUUGAAGACGACGACGUUGAUAGGCCGGGUGUGUAAGCGCAGCGAUGCGUUGAGCUAACCGGUACUAAUGAACCGUGAGGCUUAACCUU